UCUCCGUAGGUGAACCUGCGGAGGGAUCAUUACUGAGUGAGGGCUCACGCCCGACCUCCAACCCCAUGUGAACCGCAACUGUUGCUUCGGGGGCGACCCUGCCGACGACUCCGUCGCCGGGCGCCCCCGGAGGUCUUCCAAACACUGCAUCUUUGCGUCGGAGUUUAAACAAAUUAAACAAAACUUUCAACAACGGAUCUCUUGGUUCUGGCAUCGAUGAAGAACGCAGC
rnacentral:misc_RNA from 1 species